AAUAAAUGAUGAACCAAGAAUACGAUAGGAAUGUGCCGUCUGAUACAAAAAUGACGAUUAUUCAAUAUCUGAUGUUU
rnacentral:snoRNA from 1 species